ensembl:lncRNA
GGAGCUAGAAAUGUGAUGGGGAGAAACUCAAGGAGCCUGGAAGAAGCUAAUGGACAUGCCUGAAAGCAGAAAGCUAACUUUAAUUAAGUCUCAUCCCUUGCCUGUCAAACCUCGAUGCCCCCUUUGUAACAGCUUGCUUCCAGGCCUCCACAGGUGUUGCUACAUGGAACAGUCUAGUGAAACAUACACAACUUUCACUCAAAUAUUGUUUUCUCAAAUAUAGUUUUACUCUGUUUUACAACUCAUGUCCUAAACAGGCCUGUUCAGGGUGAAAAAGUGUGUAGGUUUGGACCAAAAAGGGAGCAAUCUAUGAUGGGCUGAAGUGAAGGUUUUUAGAAGUGGUGUUAUUGAUAUGCCUCACUGUUCCAUAUUGUGCGUCAUGUGCUAUGUUACAAGUUAAGACUUCUCAGUAUCUUUUCUUUGAACCCCCCCCAAUAUUUUUUCCUGAUUAGGAGCUGAUGCUCUUCAUCACAAGCUCUUUGUACCUCUAAUAAAGCCUGCUUUCUCCCAGGCAAUCUUGAGGCAUGCUGGGACCAUGCAGACGGCUGUGUCCUCUCACUCCAGUGCUGGCCUAUGACCUUACAAGUAGGGUCAGUCAACAUGCUACAAAGCUUUCCUUGCCAUUUAUCAAAUAACAAAGCAAACCAAAUUACAUAGUUUCUAUAGCAGGCCACUACAGUAUGUAAACUGCAGAGAGGGCUUACACUGCUCGCUCAUUCUGAGGUGCCGACAACAUGAAAGGCCCUUUCGUUCCAGUGCCCAGAGCCUGUAUUUGCCUAUCUCACCUAUUACCAGGAAACAAAGGGGCUGCAGAGGUUGAGCAAGCAAAUGGAAAAUGAAAAUGGAAGAAAAAACAACUGCCUGUCUUCGAAGAAAUGUUUGUCUAAAAUGUAUGCAGACAUGUCUCGGGGAGUUUAUCGGUGCUGAGGGCCCCUCUCCCUGGCUGAGAGCUGCUCUCCCUCUGGAGUAAUAGAGUCAAAGAAAGGUUGAGGCAAUGUCUCCUUUAACUGUAUAAUGUAUUUAUCCUCCCAACUGGUGAAAUGCUCAAUAGCUGUCAUGAUUAAUCAAUUGUAUUAGUAUUUCAUCUCAGCCAGUCCCAGUCAUGCGUAUCACUACAGAUGUAUUUUCUGAGAUGUGCAGCAGCAUUUCCAGUGCUGCCAAAAUCAGCUGUUUUAGUUUUGGAGCGGUGAGAACAUAUCAUCAGGUGAAAUUUGUCAUUAUUCAGGAAGUCUACUCAAAGCUGUGAGUGAAUUAAGCUGCGAAGAGACCUCCCCUUCAAAAUCUAUCUGCUUCACUGAGAGAAGCUACUGCUCCUGGAUAUGGAUUUCCAUUCCCUGUGCACACUCAGGCUUUACUGCCUUUGCUGGUCUGCCAGGGAACUUAGUUCAUGUCAGGUGAGCAUGCCUGGAUGGGCAUAGACCAGUCAUGUAAACGGUGUAAACAAGUCCUCUUGGUUUUGUCUGAGCUCUGUCAAGUGUCUGCAUCCUCCACAAGGGAAGUGGUCACAGGCAUUUAAGGUUUGUCAUCUGCUUGCUCAUGAAGCUGCACUUGGAAGGAAAUGCAUGCUUGCAGUCCAGGACCUGGCAGGUUGCUAACUUUUGUGAAGGUUAAACUUAUUUGACAAAUGAUUGUGGUAUGGACAUGUGCUCCCCCUCUGCUCAGCAGUGGUGAGGCCACGUCUGCAUGGUGUAGGCACAAAAAUAGUGGUACAGGAGAGAUGGGUGUGAGUGAGCCCAGAAAAAGGCUGAAAAGAUAAUGAAAGGUUUGAAACAUUUAUGUUAUGAAGAGAGGCUGAGAGGGUUGGGAUUUUCCAGUCUUGAGAAGAGAAGGCUCAGGAAGGCCUCAUAAUUGUGAACAAAUACUUGAUGGCUGGGAAGUAAAGAAGAUGGACAGCCAGGAUCUUCACAGCAAUGCCCAAUGAAAGGGCUGGAGACAAGGGACAUAACUGAAAGUAGUUUGGUUUAAAAGUAAGAUCUAUUUUAGCAUAAGGAUGAUUGAACACUGGGACGAGUUUCCCAGCGAGGUUGUGGAGUCUUCACCUUCAGAGAUGUUCAGAAAUCCACUUGACACACUCCUGCACACCCUUCUUCAGCUCACCCUACUCAAGUGGGAGUGGGUAGAAAUGAUUUACAGAAGUCUCUUCCCACUUCAUCUGUUCGGGGUUAAUCUGUGGUUUACUGCCCUACAGUGAGCACAGAACCUCCUCUGAAUCUGAAUUUCAGAGCUGCUGAAGAACUUCCAAAGAUGGAAGGGAUGGAAUGUACACACAGAGGGCAAACUUUGAGAAGGAGUUAAUAUGUACUGGCAUGAGGAUGUCUGCAUACAUCCACGGAGAAACUUUUCCAACUUCUUUUUUUUUUGACUCAGCAAAACAGUUGUUUUAAUGAAAGGCGCUUAUCUAGGCAGAAAGUAGGAAAGAGAAGCAAGGGAUGAGUGCAGUGAGUUGAAUGGUGAUUGCACAAGAGUUGGCAAAUGCAACUAUUUCCAAAUAUAAUGGCAUUAAGUGUUCAUUGUGAAAUUAGAUCAGCUUUUUAAGAGCUGCAGGGUGAAAAAACACAGUAUUCAGCUAAUUAGACAAAGUAAAAAGAUAAUGUUAAAUUCUUUUCCUUCAAAAAGUAUUUGUCUGCACUACCAUGAAUUUUAAAAUAGAACUGCUAGAGAUGGCAGUGUUAUCAAGUGAUCUGCCAUUAAAGGAAUUAUAAUUCAGGUCUUUUUAAUUCCCUAUUGUGGAAAUCUUUAAAUUAGAAUAUAUCUAAACUGUACAAAUCUGUAGUUCUCCUAGAACAAUGCUGACACAGUUCUCUGAUGUUCAUUAAAAAUUUUUAUGCCUUGAUUUCUAUAUAAUGGAACAGGAAGAAAUUUAACUGCAUUUACUGGCUUUUGUGCCCAGUCCAGCUAAUUACUAAAGCAUCAGCCCAACUUUCAACAUGUAAGUAGUUUAAUCAAAGUUGGUAAGACUACUGACAUGCUUAAAUGUACUGAAACUGUGGUUGCCAUUCUUCAUUUUAAGUGUCAUGAGUCAAAGGCUAUCCUUUUGUGACACUCUUCAAGUCACAGAAUCACAGAAUAUGCUGAGCUGGAAGGGACCCACAAAGAUCAUCGAGUCCAGCUCCUGGCCCUGGUCAGGACACCCCAAGACUCACACCAUGUGCCUGAGAGCCUUGUCUAAACAUUACUUGAACUCUGUCAAGCUUGAGGCUGUGACCACUGCCCUGAGGAGCCUCUCCAGCACCCAACUGCCUCCUGAAUGAAGAACUUUUUCAUAAGUCAUGAAGUUAAACAUCAAACGUAUAUCAAGUUGAGACUAUUAGAACUGAAAUCAAAUUAAUUUUCUUUUGAUAACUUACAUCUGUACAUUUAAAACCUCUUGUAUGUCUUCAUUGGCAGUUAAAAGUGCUUUGCUCAGAAAUUUUGAGGCUCUUUAAUAGACUCUAGCAGCAAGAAAGCUUGGUGAUCAAUCUCCUUGAAAAAUAAAAUUUAAAAAAUCUUAUUUAUCAGAAAAACAAUUGUUCUGUGCUUCCAAUAGAUACUUUAUAAUCUUUCAUUAACAAAGCAAUUUGACCUUUUUUUCCUUUACCCAAGGAAUGUAGAAUUAACUACUGAAACACAAAUAAUGUUACUGAGUAUAUACUUCCAUUUUGUUUGGCUUUUAACUAUUUUCUAUCUUACUUUUGUUGCUAAAGCUCUUUGAGAUUGAAAGGGUUGGUGUGGGAUUGGGGCAUAAUUUGAAACGGGCAUUUGGUUAGUAUUGGAAGUUUAUUGUCUAGGGUUUUUUUGGGUUUUUUUUGUUGUUUGGUUUUUUUUUUGAGUUUGGAUGAGAUUUGCUGUCAUUCUCCUAAAGACACCAUGUAUCCAAAUUACUUAUUUUGCUCCUCUUAUCCCAGAUACAAAACAAUUUAAUGAUGCACUUAUCCUUAAACAUGUGCUUGCAUAUACCCUUGUGUAAGGAUGUGAGUGUGUACUGGUAUAGCUUGCUGAAUUAAGGGGCAGAAGCACAUAGUAAUUUGAGUAUAAAAUGUACUUGUCUGUCCCUGGGGGCCAUGGGCAUGCUUUUCAUAGUUAGUAUAAUAUUUCCAGUAUUUGCUGCAAACAGAAAUUAAAUCUUAAAAUAACUCCACAACUCGUGCCACUUGUCUGUGUUUCCACAUGCAAUCUGUUCAUGGGGAGGCAAGGAGCUGCUUCUCUCAGACCUGUGAGCAGGGCAGUGCCCAGCCUUGGGACAAACCUUGUCCUGAUCAGGGUCACCCCAUGCUCAGGGCUCUGGAGAAGGUGCCCAACUCCCUCACAAUCUGUGUACCAUAAGGAGCUACUAAGAUGCAUUGGAUCAUGUAAUUAAAAAUAGAUUUUCAAGCAAUAAUUCUGAGGUCAUGCACUGCCAUUCCAAUGUUUGAUUUCACAUAAAUUGAACAGUGUGUCACUGCUCCUUACAAAUACAUUCUAUCUUAAGAAUUUUAUCUUAUUGCCUUUCUUUGGGCCAUAUCUGGAGAAUAUUGUGCCUGGCAUAGAAGUUAGUUACUAGAUUACUGGAACUUUUUUUCUGAGUUGUAAGGGAUUUUCUUAGCCUGUCUUAAAUUAACAAAGUGUACUUGAAAGAAACUUGCAGUUCUUUGUCUGCAGAUGGAAAGCCUCUCACAGGCUUCUGUAGAAGCUAGUCUGGGUGUAGAGAUGAAAAAGAGAGUCUUAAUGCUGAAGAAACCUUGCAUUCAAAAACAUUGAAGAACUCUCUUUGUAAAUGAUCUGCCCAGUGCAGUCCUGAAUAAAUUAGUCCAAACAUAAGUAACAUUACCGGUCAACAACAGCUAAAACCAAUUGUUUGUGAAUAGUUCUCUAUUAUUUUGUAAUUCAUAACAACUGCACACUAAUUUUGUCAUGUUUUUACAUAUCAGAUGAAAAAAAAAAGGCAAUUGAGAAUACAAUUUUCUUUAUGAUUUUUUACAUUUUUCAGAUCAUCUUGAAUGGAAUGAUAAAGUAUUUUCUGAAGGAAAAAACCCCAAAUGUGUCCUGAACAAAGGGUACUUACUCUGGGGAUCAUUUUUAUUAAAAUAGCAAAUAGUUAGAAUGAGUGGUCCAUGAAGUUUCAGUUGGAAACAAAAGAAAUCAUAAGAAUUUGCCUGUUUACUAAAGCUAGAUUCUCUCCAGCAAGAAAUAGCUUCUGCUAAUGUGAGAACAGCAUAAUGUAAACUUUCACAGUGUGUAAAUAACACUUCAUUAAGUUUCUUUUUCCUUUUGAAAGUAUCUUGUCUUGAACAGAGGGGCAAAUUCUACCAAGUGGAACUGCUUUCACCUUUGCAUGAUAGGGAUGUAAUUGCAAAUAGCCCUAGGUGUUCUUCUUGUGCUAUUUAUUUAAGGUAUUUAUACAAUAAUAAAAACCAUUGAGAUGAAACC